GGCCGUCUUUCAUUAAUAUACAGUGAGGAUUUUGUCUAAAUUACUGCUAUGAAUUUCACAGUACACGCUUUCAAAAGCCGUCUCAGGUGGCCUGAUGCAACGCGAUAGCGCCUCUGCAAAGCUACUUUCUCAAUAAUAAAAUAAAAAAAGAAGUUUAUUUUUAUUUUUAAAGGAUCUCCUGCAAUAUUGCGUGUCUCUGAACAAACAACCCUUUCAAUCGAGGUUACAGUUUUUAUUUUAUUUAUUUAUUUAUUUAAAAGGGGGGGGAACUUAAUCCUCGCCCAUCCCCCAACAAUUCAUUUCCCCACCCCCCUCUCCUUGUAGAGUGUGAUUACUUUGUCUGGAAAAAAAAAUCCGAAGUAUAACAAGGGGAGAACAGUUAGUGCUGAUUUUCAUUUGCAUAAAUUUUCAUAUAUUUUGGUGAAAAUAAUAGACUAGUGGAGAGCAGGGCUUACUGGAGUCAGUGCAAAGGAAAAUCUUACCCUGGAUCGUUUUGCAGCAGUUUUGAGGCUCACGGAUUUCCCUCUUUCCUUCACUCACCAAGAGCAAAGCCCUUCAAAUUCAAAUUCUCUAUGCCUUGGAGUUUCUUUGCAAUGCUGUAAACAGAAGAAUCAGAGGCAAUUACUUUCAUCAUUGUACUGACCAGCUACUUGGAAAACGUAUAUCUGGUAACAAAACAGAUGUCAGGCAUCCUGGUCUGUCUUCAGUUACACUUGGCCAAUGCAAGGACCUGCAGAGGAAGAAGGAGUCUAUUUAUCGGAGGUAAAACCCCCCGCUAGUUGAAACUGUCUCCCAGUCUUUAUUAACCC
rnacentral:lncRNA from 1 species